UACGUAGGGAGGCAAGCGUUGUUCGGAUUUACUGGGCGUAAAGGGCGCGUAGGCGGCGCGGUAAGUCACUUGUGAAAUCUCUGAGCUUAACUCAGAACGGCCAAGUGAUACUGCAGUGCUAGAGUGCAGAAGGGGCAAUCGGAAUUCUUGGUGUAGCGGUGAAAUGCGUAGAUAUCAAGAGGAACACCUGAGGUGAAGACGGGUUGCUGGGCUGACACGUGACGCUGGAGGCGCGAAAGCCAGGGGAGCAAACGGG
rnacentral:rRNA from 1 species